rnacentral:rRNA from 1 species
CAGGCCUAACACAUGCAAGUCGAGCGGUAACAGGACUAGCUUGCUAGUUGCUGACAAGCGGCGGACGGGUGCGUAACACGUAGGAAUCUACCCAGUAGCGGGGGAUAGCCCGGAGAAAUCCGGAUUAAUACCGCAUACGCCCUACGGGGGAAAGCAGGGGAUCUUCGGACCUUGCACUAUUGGAUGAGCCUGCGUCGGAUUAGCUUGUUGGUGAGGUAAAGGCUCACCAAGGCGACGAUCCGUAGCUGGUCUGAGGGGAUGAUCAGCCACACUGGGACUGAGACACGGCCCAGACUCCUACGGGAGGCAGCAGUGGGGAAUAUUGCACAAUGGGCGAAAGCCUGAUGCAGCCAUGCCGCGUGUGUGAAGAAGGCUCUAGGGUUGUAAAGCACUUUCAGCGAGGAGGAAAGGUUGAUGAUUAAUACUCAUUAGCUGUGACGUUACUCGCAGAAGAAGCACCGGCUAACUCCGUGCCAGCAGCCGCGGUAAUACGGAGGGUGCAAGCGUUAAUCGGAAUUACUGGGCGUAAAGCGUGCGUAGGCGGCUUGCUAAGUUGGAUGUGAAAGCCCCGGGCUCAACCUGGGAACUGCAUUCAAAACUGGUGAGCUAGAGUGCGGAAGAGGAGUGUGGAAUUUCCUGUGUAGCGGUGAAAUGCGUAGAUAUAGGAAGGAACACCAGUGGCGAAGGCGACACUCUGGUCUGACACUGACGCUGAGGUACGAAAGCGUGGGGAGCAAACAGGAUUAGAUA